ACACGAAGUGAGUGGCGAACGGGUGAGUAACACGUGGGUAACCUGCCCAGAAGUAGGGGAUAACACCUGGAAACAGAUGCUAAUACCGUAUAACAGAGAAAACCGCAUGGUUUUCUUUUAAAAGAUGGCUCUGCUAUCACUUCUGGAUGGACCCGCGGCGUAUUAGCUAGUUGGUGAGGUAAAGGCUCACCAAGGCAGUGAUACGUAGCCGACCUGAGAGGGUAAUCGGCCACAUUGGGACUGAGACACGGCCCAGACUCCUACGGGAGGCAGCAGUAGGGAAUCUUCCACAAUGGACGCAAGUCUGAUGGAGCAACGCCGCGUGAGUGAAGAAGGGUUUCGGCUCGUAAAGCUCUGUUGUUAAAGAAGAACGUGGGUAAGAGUAACU
rnacentral:rRNA from 1 species